GACUGCUCUACAUGUGCACGGAUGGACACAUACUGCCUAGGCAUGUUUGGUACUGUGGAACAUACGUGUACGCAUUCUCUGACCAUGCGGAAGGCAUGCUUGGCAAAAUGGCAGCACUUUGUCAUGUUGAUGGUUCAAACAGCCGAAGAUAGUUAGACAUGUUCUCUACCUGGAGUAUGUUAAAACACAAAAUAAAGAUAGUUAGACAUGUUCUCUACCUGGAGUAUGUUAAAACACAAAAUAAGGAAACCUGGUAUUGUAUAUGCCCUAAGGCACAAUUUGAAUCAGUUCCAGUGAUGUGUAUGUAUUAUUGUUGCAGAUAUGAUUUUGGUACCCCUUUCCUUUUU